UACGAAGGGGGCUAGCGUUGUUCGGAAUUACUGGGCGUAAAGCGCGCGUAGGCGGGCGUCUAAGUCAGGGGUGAAAUCCCAGGGCUCAACCCUGGAACUGCCCUUGAUACUGGAUGCCUGGAGUUCGGGAGAGGUGAGUGGAAUUCCGAGUGUAGAGGUGAAAUUCGUAGAUAUUCGGAGGAACACCAGAAGCGAAGGCGGCUCACUGGCCCGAUACUGACGCUGAGGCGCGAAAGCGUGGGGAGCAAACAGG
rnacentral:rRNA from 1 species